rnacentral:lncRNA from 1 species
ACUGUUAACUACGUUGCAAAAGAUAAAAGAUUAGUUCAAAAGAAGAUGAUAUAGAGAGAAACAAGAGAGAGAUUGAAAAGGAAAAAUGAAAGCUCUUGAAUUGAUUGAUCUUUUAUGAUACAAUAGGUCUAGCAUAAUAUGCAAACACACAUUACACCAAAUGUUAUAAUGCAAUUCGUAGAUUUUUUUUUUUUUUUUUUUAAGUUUCCAACUAAUUGAGUUGUUACAUUUUGUUGUACCAAACAUUGUUCCUGAUAGAUUUUCAAAAAUCUCUCCAAAUUAUCAUGUGUGUUAUGAUGGAUAAAAUUGUAAUAGGAGAACUGUCAAAAUCGUAAUUGGAGAUUGAAUUUAACAAUGUAUUUAAGGAGACAAUUAUACCAUAUAUACUUAAACAAAGUUGAAUUGAAAUCCAAAUUUCCAAUUGAGGUGUGAAGAGGAGGUGGGAGGAGGAGGUUGGCUACAC